rnacentral:rRNA from 1 species
UACGUAGGGUGCAAGCGUUGUCCGGAAUUAUUGGGCGUAAAGAGCUCGUAGGCGGUCUGUCGCGUCGGCUGUGAAAACCCGGAGCUCAACUCCGAGCCUGCAGUCGAUACGGGCAGACUGGAGUUCGGCAGGGGAGACUGGAAUUCCUGGUGUAGCGGUGAAAUGCGCAGAUAUCAGGAGGAACACCGGUGGCGAAGGCGGGUCUCUGGGCCGAUACUGACGCUGAGGAGCGAAAGCGUGGGGAGCGAACAGG